AUGGCGGACGGGUGAGUAACGCGUAAGAACUUGCCCUUUAGACUGGGAUAACANAGGGAAACUUCUGAUAAUACUGGAUAAGUUAGUAUAUCGCAUGAUAUGCAAAUGAAAGCUACGGCACUAAAGGAGAGCUUUGCGUCCUAUUAGCUAGUUGGUAAGGUAAGAGCUUACCAAGGCGAUGAUAGGUAGCCGGCCUGAGAGGGUGGACGGCCACAAGGGGACUGAGAUACGGCCCUUACUCCUACGGGAGGCAGCAGAA
rnacentral:rRNA from 1 species